rnacentral:tRNA from 1 species
GUUGUAGCUCAGUGGUAGAGCACUUACCUAGCAUGUGUGAGGCACUGGGUUUGAUUCUCAGCGCCACA